GCCUUCGUGGUGUAGUGGUUCAGCACGCUGGGCUGCUAUUCCAGAGGUCCGUUUUUCGAUUCCCGGCGAAGGCG
rnacentral:tRNA from 1 species